AGCGAACGCUGGCGGCAGGCCUAACACAUGCAAGUCGAACGAAGUCUUCGGACUUAGUGGCGGACGGGUGAGUAACACGUGGGAACGUGCCUUUAGGUUCGGAAUAACUCAGAGAAACUUGUGCUAAUACCGAAUGUGCCCUUCGGGGGAAAGAUUUAUCGCCUUUAGAGCGGCCCGCGUCUGAUUAGCUAGUUGGUGAGGUAAAGGCUCACCAAGGCUACGAUCAGUAGCUGGUCUGUGAGGAUGACCAGCCACAUUGGGACUGAGACACGGCCCAAACUCCUACGGGAGGCAGCAGUGGGGAAUCUUGCGCAAUGGGCGAAAGCCCGACGCAGCCAUGCCGCGUGGAUGAUGAAGGUCUUAGGAUUGUAAAAUCCUUUCACCGGUGAAGAUAAUGACUGUAGCCGGAGAAGAAGCCCCGGCUAACUUCGUGCCAGCCGCCGCCGUAAGAC
rnacentral:rRNA from 1 species